CGUUCAAUUAAGAGAAUUUCUAAAGUGAGAGAAAUAAGAUGUUUAGGAAAAGUAUGACAAAACUUAUGUUAGUAAUGAUGGAGUUGAUUAUCCUCGUGAUAUUCAAAGUGCAUGCUAAUGAUCCUACCACUCCCUCUUCUGCUCCCACAACACUACCAACUAGCCUUCAUCUCUUCCAACUUGAUAAUGCGGACAAGAGUUAUAUUGAUCAUUGCAUUGGAAGCACACUCAAGAAGUGUAAAUUAACAGAACCUUUGUUUGCAGCAAACCUUCUUUUUGAAUGCCUUUUUCAGAGUCCAACACAUCCUAAAGAUUUUCCCAUUAGCCUUGGUGAUGUGACGUUAGGUUGCUUUAGGCAUUGUCAUAUGAAAUUGAAACUUAUUGGCGAGCAUCAUGCACAUUGUCUAGUAUACUGCUACAAAGAGAAAAUGAAGCAGCAUAAUAUCAAGAAUUGAUAAGCUUCGAGUUUGGUGACUAAGAUGACAUUGUAAUUGGUGAGCGAGAUCUUGAAUGUUUGGAUAGUAUGGAUAUAUAUAUUAACUCGUAGUUUUCUUGCUUAUGCUUUGGUGAUUUGGAGUGUAAUAAGGGGCUCGAUGGACUUAUGCUUGGCUGGUUUACCUUGUCAUGUCCUUUAGGUUUCGGUAUAUGAUAUAUAUAUUUUCCAAGAGGUUGGACUUUCCUUUGUAGUACUGUUCAUGUGUUACUAAAUGCCGAGGUCCAAAACCUUGUGGCUUCUAUGUUGUGAGGAAAAAUGUUAUGGCAUGUAUCAAUUGAAGAGUAAGACCUUGUAACAUUUAUAUAUUUAAUGAAAUGACGUUAUAGUUCUUGAGGUUUAUAA